rnacentral:rRNA from 1 species
UACGGAGGGUGCAAGCGUUGUCCGGAUUUAUUGGGUUUAAAGGGUGCGUAGGCGGCCCGUUAAGUCAGCGGUGAAAUCCCACGGCUCAACCGUGGAACUGCCGUUGAUACUGGCGGGCUUGAGUUCGGUCGAGGCGGGCGGAACUGGUGGUGUAGCGGUGAAAUGCUUAGAUACCACCAAGAACCCCGAUUGCGUAGGCAGCUCGCUUGGCCGAAACUGACGCUGAGGCACGAAAGCGUGGGGAGCGAACAGG